ACACCACGGUGCUGUUGAAAUGCUCAUGAAAUAGUAUUUAGCCUGGAUGAGAAUAUAUGGAUAUAUGCCUAAUACUUUGAAAUGCUAAAAGAAAAAAAAAAGCUAGAUUUAUAUAUAUCUAUGUAUUUCAAUUUUUUCUUGUAAAUUGUUACUUCUGUGAAGACCUUAGAAGAAGUGUGUGAUACAUUGUUUUUUAAGGCAGUAAUUGUGAAACGUUUAUUUCAAAGUCAUUUGAAAGAUCACUGAAUGGGAGUAAGUACUUGUCUCUUUCUAAUUUUCUUUCUUGUACAGCCCUUCUAAGAAAGGACUUCACUGAGCAGGGUUUUUAAUUGAAGGCUUUUAGGCCUUUAACCUAAUUCCAUUUUACUUCUUGAGGGUAUCUCUUAAAGGAGUCUACUAUUUGAAAACCUUAUGAAGUCCUUUAUUCUAAAUUCUAUGAGAGACCAUUUUUUCCUUUGCUUUUGUUUUUCUUAUAGAUUGUUAUGAAAUGAAGCUAUGAAUGUAAAACCAGAAGAUUUGCAGGGACAAUAUAUUUUAAUGCAUAAAACCUCAAGCAUGAAACCAAAUCCACAGAGCUUUUUCAGGGUGAAAAAAUAAUCCACAUCUGGAGCUUACUAGAAAGGGGCAUUGAAAUUUAUUUGGCAACUUGUAAAUAUAAUUUGUUCAGUACUGGAAAUGUGUGUGCCUUCCUUCUUCAGAAUCCUCAGUACAAGGGCACAACAUCUCAGACUUUGUGGAAAUAUAUUGUAUUUCUUGUAUUGAUGUGAAUAUGAAUUUUUUGUAGUUGUAGUUGUAGUUACUACACGUUACUACAUGUUACUACAGUUGUUGUAGUUACUAAACACAUAAAGUAUUAUAAAAUUGUCCUGUACAGGAAAAAACAAGAAGCUUUAAUUUGUCCAAAUUAAGACCAAGUGGUGAGAACACUAGUUAAGAUGCAUUUUCCCAGAAGAAUAGACUGUUUUAGGGACGCUUGUUAAAUGCUUUCUCCGGACACAGCAAUGCCAAUCAGA
rnacentral:lncRNA from 1 species